UACGUAGGGGGCAAGCGUUAUCCGGAUUUACUGGGUGUAAAGGGAGCGUAGACGGUUACGCAAGUCAGAUGUGAAAGCCCAGGGCUCAACCCUGGGACUGCAUUUGAAACUGCGUAACUAGAGUGCAGGAGAGGUAAGUGGAAUUCCUAGUGUAGCGGUGAAAUGCGUAGAUAUUAGGAGGAACACCAGUGGCGAAGGCGGCUUACUGGACUGUAACUGACGUUGAGGCUCGAAAGCGUGGGGAGCAAACAGG
rnacentral:rRNA from 1 species